rnacentral:rRNA from 1 species
UACGGAGGUGGCAAGCGUUGUUCGGAUUUACUGGGCGUAAAGGGCGCGUAGGCGGUUGGAUAAGUCCUCCGUGAAAUCUCCAGGCUUAACCUGGAAAGUGCAGAGGGGACUGUUCAGCUAGAGGAUGGGAGAGGAGCGCGGAAUUCCCGGUGUAGCGGUGAAAUGCGUAGAGAUCGGGAGGAAGGCCGGUGGCGAAGGCGGCGCUCUGGAACAUUUCUGACGCUGAGGCUCGAAAGCGUGGGGAGCAAACAGG